GCCGGGCACGGUAGUCCCAGCUACUUGGAAGGCUGAGGUGGGAGGAUCGCUUGAGCCCAGGAGUUCUGGGCUGUAAUGUGCUAUGUCGAUCAAGUAUCCACACUAAGUUCAGCAUCAAUAUGGUUACCUCCUGGGAGCGGGGGACCACCAGGUUGCCUAAGGAGGGGUGAUCCGGCCCAGGUCAGAAACAGAGCAGGUUAAAACUCCAGUGCUGGCCGGGCGCGGUGGCUCAAGCCUGUAAUCCCAGCACUUUGGGAGGCCGAGGCAGGUGGAUCACGA
rnacentral:SRP_RNA from 1 species